CGUCUCGCCAGUAAGAACGACGCGAGGCAACAGGAUUCUUCUGCGAACAAGCCUUUACUGUACAGCUCUCUUGAACAGGGACAGGGGACCACGAUCGGCAAAGUCGUUCAACUUAUAUACACAACAGGAUUGGCGGAGAACGAAUCACCUCACCAGCAUGGUACCGCCCCUUCAUUAGCAUAUUACCGGCCAACUGACACCAGGUGCAAAACCUGAGCAUGCACAGUACCGUUGUUCACCACUGGAGGGCGCCCUACAGAAAUGGACUUCGAAGUAGUUUGAAUCACCCUUCCAGAUGCUUACUGUACCCCGAACUCAUUGAACAGGAGACUGGGUUUCCUGAGCCCUAGGGACUUCAGAAGUCUGUCUGGCAGACAGAAGCACAUCGCUCUGUGUCCUCAGAGGCCGUUUCCUGUCCCCAGUUCUUCUUUGUCCGACCUGCUUCCUCUCCACCUUCUCCCACAGCUGGGAUGUUCUGCCUCACCGUGGACUCGGAAUCAGAGAAGCCAAGGACGAUGGACUGAAAUCUCUAAAACCAUGAGCCAAAGAAAAUAAAUCCUUCUCCCUCCACUCUGACUCUCUUGGCUACGUGGAGACACAGCCUAGAUGAUGAAGAGUCUGCUGCAGUAUUGUCUUCCUGUCCUGUCCCCACCUCUCUGGCUGUAAAAGUGUAUGAACCCUUCAAAGGCGGGACACUGAGGUCAAACUGCUCCAUGCUCCCAGAUGCUACUGACUAAGCCCGAUUCCUUCCUGAGAACUCACGUGUUGAGCAGCUCUGACUUACUCUGCUAACGUGUUCUCUCUCUCUCCUCUUCUUCCUCCUCUUCCUCUUCUUCCUCCUCUUCCUCCUCCUCCUUCUUCCUCUUCUUCCUCUUCUUCUCUCUCUCUCUCUCUCUCUCUCUCUCUCUCUGUCUUUCUUUCUCUCUCUCUUUCUUUUUUUCUCUUUUCUUUCUUUGAGACAAUAUAGCCCUGAAUGUCCUGGAACUCACUUUGUAGACCAGGCUAGCCACAAACUUGAAGAGAUCUGCUUGCCUCUGCCCAUGAGUGCUGGGAUUAAAGGUGUAUACCAUGUCCUGAUAUUUGUGAGUGUGUGUGUGUGUGUGUGUGUGUGUGUGUGUGUGUGUGUGUGUGUGUGUAGGGGAUCUCUUUCUUCUUUCUUUGCUUUUGCUUUAGUACGGAGUUUCUCUAUGUAUCCUUGGUUACCACAGAACUUGCUCUGUAGACCAGACCUCCCAAGUGUUAAGACUAAAGGCAUGAGCCACCACUACCCUGCUCGCUCUCGCUCUCUCUCUCUCUCUCUCUCUCUCUCUCUCUCUGAAUCAGCAUCCUCAGGCUCCAGUCUACUACACUUUACAUUUCUAGUUUAAAAUAAUUCUCAGAUGCUUACAUGAGGCCCAUGGAGACUCUGAGGAAUAGAAUAAAACAAUAAUUUGAGGCCAAAGUUCUUGUGAGAAAUCACAUCCAUUUGUUUGGAUACCAGCACAGCUUACACUACUGAGGAACAUGACAUAACAGCAUUAACAGUGUCUUUGACUAGCCAAGAAGAAAGACUGUAAUCAUAUAAUUAUGUUUGCCUGGAGUCCCUGCUACUCAGGCUGAUGAGGCAGGAGAAUCACUUGAACAUAGGGGUUCAAGGCUGGCUCAGGACUCUCCAGCCCAGGGUGGCACCACACACACACACACACACACACACACACACACACACGCACACAUGCACACACACACACACGCACGCACACACACACACACGCACACACAUAGAGAGAGACAGAGAGAGAGAGAGAGAGAGAGAGAGAGAGAGAGAGAGACUGGCCCCUUCUACAUCAACCAAGAAAACGCCCCACGGACUCACUGCAGGCCAAGCUGACGGAGAGAGAAAGCAAGCUUGUUGCUGUCCAAACAAAGCUGGAAGACCCCUGCCCCAGCAUCUGGUGACUUGGAAGGAAGGCAGGCCCUGGCCAAGCCUACCUCCAACACUUCUUUCUCCCUCCGGACCAGCAUGGCAGGCACAGAAGAAAGGGAGGUUGGUUUAUGUCAUCCCUGAGGUCAUCACAGAUGAAUAAAGCAUGAAGCUCAAAUGUCA